rnacentral:rRNA from 1 species
AUGAACCGCUAUGGUAUGCCAUUCAUACCUUUUGUUGGUCUUAACAAUCACUGGAAGACCACUGUUUUUGGUUGUGCCAUAGUUUCGGACGUGACCGAGGAGACAUACGUGUGGCUUCUGCAGAUUUUUUUGAGGUCCAUGUGUCAAAAGAUGCCUAAGAGUGUUAGCACAAACGCCGACGCUGCGAUGAUCAAGGCAAUUCGUGAAGUCUUGCCAGACGUGUGGCACAGUAUAUGUACGUGGCACAUAGAGAAAAAUAUGAAGAUUCACCUCAGUCACAAGUCCUUGAAGGAGUUCCGAACUCUUCUGUAG